GAUGAAGAACGCAGUGAAAUGCGAUAAGUAAUGUGAAUUGCAGAAUUCAGUGAAUCAUCGAAUCUUUGAACGCACAUUGCGCCCGCCAGUAUUCUGGCGGGCAUGCCUGUUCGAGCGUCAUUUCAACCAUCAAGCCCCCGGCUUGUGUUGGGGACCUGCGGCUGCCGCAGGCCCUGAAAACCAGUGGCGGGCUCGCUAGUCACUCCGAGCGUAGUAAUACAUCUCGCUCAGGGCGUGCUGCGGGUUCCGGCCGUUAAAAGCCUUAUUUUACCCAAGGUUGACCUCGGAUCAGGUAGGAAGACCCGCUGAACUUAAGCAUAUCAAUAACGGAGGA
rnacentral:misc_RNA from 1 species